rnacentral:rRNA from 1 species
AACGAACGCUGGCGGCGCGUCUUAAGCAUGCAAGUCGAACGGCAAGAGAGGAGCUUGCUUCUCUCCUAGAGUGGCGGACUGGUGAGGAACACGUGGGUAAUCUACCCUUAAGAUGGGGAUAGCUGCUAGAAAUAGCAGGUAAUACCGAAUACACUCGGCAUAUCACAAGAGGUGUUGAGGAAAGGAAGCUACGGCUUCGCUUGAGGAUGAGCUUGCGUCCCAUUAGCUAGUUGGUGAGGUAAAGGCCCACCAAGGCGACGAUGGGUAUCCGGCCUGAGAGGGUGAACGGACACAUUGGGACUGAGAAACGGCCCAAACUCCUACGGGAGGCAGCAGCUAAGAAUAUUCCGCAAUGGACGGAAGUCUGACGGAGCGACGCCGCGUGGAUGAAGAAGGCUGAAAAGUUGUAAAAUCCUUUUGUUGAUGAAGAAUAAGGGUGAGAGGGAAUGCUCAUCUGAUGACGGUAAUAGACGAAUAAGCCCCGGCUAAUUACGUG